CAAAAGGCUCUUUUAAGAGCCACCUCAAUAUGUCUUAAAAGAUCGAU
rfam:Danio rerio chromosome 25, GRCz11 reference primary assembly.